GAAAUUUUGCAGCUUAACUGUAAAAGUGCCGUUGAUACUGUGAGGCUAGGAUUUGGUUGCUGUGGGUGGAAUGUGUGGUGUAGCGGUGAAAUGCUUAGAGAUCACACAGAAUAUCGAUUGCGAAGGCAGCUCACAAAGCCAAGAUUGACGCUGAGGCACGAAAGUGUGGGGAUCAAACAGGAUUAGAUACCCUGGUAGUCCACACUGUAAACGAUGAUAACUCGCUGUCGGCGAUAUACAGUCGGUGGCCAAGCGAAAGCGAUAAGUUAUCCACCUGGGGAGUACGGCCGCAAGGUUGAAACUCAAAGGAAUUGACGGGGGCCCGCACAAGCGGAGGAACAUGUGGUUUAAUUCGAUGAUACGCGAGGAACCUUACCCGGGCUCGAACGGUGCAGGAAUAUGGUAGAGAUAUCAUAGCUAGCAAUAGUCUGUAUCGAGGUGCUGCAUGGUUGUCGUCAGCUCGUGCCGUGAGGUGUCGGCUUAAGUGCCAUAACGAGCGCAACCCUUGUCAUUAGUUACCAUCAGGUCAAGCUGGGGACUCUAAUGAGACUGCCACCGUAAGGUGAGAGGAAGGGGGGGAUGACGUCAAAUCAGCACGGCCCUUAUGUCCGGGGCGACACACGUGUUACAAUGGGGGGUACAGAGGGCAGCCAUCCGGCGACGGAGCGCCAAUCUCAAAAACCCUUCUCAGUUCGGAUUGGAGUCUGCAACCCGACUCCAUGAAGUUGGAUUCGCUAGUAAUCGCGCAUCAGCCAUGGCGCGGUGAAUACGUUCCCGGGCCUUGUACACACCGCCCGUCAAGCCAUGGAAGCUUGGGGUGCCUGAAGUUCGUGACCGCAAGGAGCGACCUAG
rnacentral:rRNA from 1 species